CCUACGGGGUGCAGCAGUGGGGGAUAUUGCACAAUGGGGGAAACCCUGAUGCAGCGACGCCGCGUGGGUGAAGAAGCGCCUCGGCGCGUAAAGCCCUGUCAGCAGGGAAGAAAAUGACGGUACCUGAAGAAGAAGCCCCGGCUAACUACGUGCCAGCCGCCGCGGUAAUACGUAGGGGGCAAGCGUUAUCCGGAUUUACUGGGUGUAAAGGGGGCGCAGACGGCGAUGCAAGCCAGGAGUGAAAGCCCGGGGCCCAACCCCGGGACUGCUCUUGGAACUGCGGGGCUAGAGUGCAGGAGGGGCAGGCGGAAUUCCUGGUGUAGCGGUGAAAUGCGUAGAGAUCAGGAGGAACACCGGUGGCGAAGGCGGCCUGCUGGACUGCAACUGACGUUGAGGCCCGAAAGCGUGGGGAGCAAACAGGAUUAGAUACCCCAGUAGUC
rnacentral:rRNA from 1 species